AGGCCAUGUUGUGACUUUGUGAUUGAUGACAAAUUGUUCCCUUCAAUCUACUUCCUAGAUUGCUGAUCUUUCCUUACCCAACUAUCUAAUGGCGUCUUCAGUUGGACUGCUUCCCACUCAGCUUCUGAACUCUUACCUGGGUACCACCUUGCGGACGAUGGAAGAUGUCAUUGCAGAACAAAGUGUUAGUGGAUAUUUUGUCUUUUGUUUACAGAUUGUUAUAAGCAUAGGCCUCAUGUUUUAUGUAGUCCAUCGAGCUCAAGUGGAAUUGAAGGCAGCUAUCGUAGCUUGUGAGAUGGAACUGAAAACCUCCCUGGUUAAAGGCAGUGAGCCAGACCCCAGUGGCCCUUCCUUCUACAACAAGAGGACCCUCACGUUUUCUGGAGGUGGAAUCAAUAUUGUAUGAUUCUUACAAACUGAUUGCCAGAGCCUCCAGUGCUCUGUAGGCCUAUAGUCACUUACCGAGUGGCAGAUACAAGUGCUGUCAUGUUAUGGCACAAACAAAACUGACUAGUUUUUAAAUUGCACAAUUUUCUAAAAAGCAAGAAUCAUUUUCUGGGUCUCUAAAUGUAAAUGUAGAUGCAGCUUUGGCUGCCCCUUGUUAUACCUGUAAUGCCUAUAGGUGUGCACUUUAGUGUUACUGAAUUGUUUUAUUGCUGGGACUUAUGAACAGAGAAAUAACCCAAAUAUUUUUUUCUGUUUAGUAUCUUUAUUUAUAAAGCCCAUAAAUAGUUAUGUGCAUCUGUCUUGAAAGAUGAGUAAAAAUAUGAAGUUCUAAAUGUUAUCAUUGUUGGAUGUUCUUUGCUUAGGUAGUCUUUCCAGAAGGGAGUAAACUGUGUUUUUUUAGUUUUAGCUUUUGUUCUGUUUUUUGUUGUUGUUGUUUCCUUGUUUGUUUUAAGUAGAACGACUUUGCUUCAUUUUCUUUGCUUGUAAGAAAAUAGAUGUAUUUCAGUUGAAUGUAUGUUAUCAAGCAUUAUGUCAUUGUGGGCCUUUUACACCUACCUUUUCAUACAAGCUUAAAUCCUACAUUGUGGGACUGAAGUGCUCUUAAGAUUCCUGUUUAUUUUCACUGUGUAAUAUGCAAAGCAAAAGGGAACUUAUUUAGUGAGUGGGUAAUGGCUCAAAAGUGGAGCCCACAUUCUUAUUUGAUUAUGUUGGUUUCACCCUUUAGACCUCAUCAAAGGGCUGUCUGAUAGCACUCUUACUAAACCAUUUUCCCUUUUUUAUAUUAAUAAUUAGGCUUUGAAAUAAGUAUUUUAUUCUUACAAAAUGGUAGGCUUACCAUCUCUGAAGUUGUCAUUCAGGUGGCCUUGUUUAGUCAAAACGCCUUGUUAAAAAGAAACAAGCUUUAAAAUCAUGUUUAUAGUUCCAUUAAAGUACUUAUGUAUUUGUCCCCAUAGUCUUCAGCUUUAAAACUAUAAACAUAAUAUUAACAAAAUGCCCAUGUUUGUGUUAUCUGCUGUGUUAUUGCUGUUUUGGGGGGCCUUUGGUAUUCCUUUUCCCUGACAGGACUCAGGAAUUCUUAAAUGUGAAGUUUUCUCAAUUCUUUUUCUUGUAGCAUGUGUUUACUAACAGCACUUAGGACUGUAGAAUAUUAUAAUCCAACAUGAUUCAUAUGGUGUGCGUUCACUAAUCAGCUUUAUUUUUAAAAUAGUUUAAUUGCAAACUUAAUGGUUAGUUGAUUUUGUUUGUUACAAAUGAGAUUGUAGAGAUAUGGUAACAUUUUCUUUUAAGUACUUUAUUUUUCUGGCUUUUCCAGCUUAUCAGAGCUCUCUUCUCUGCCUUUUCCUUGCAGUAAAAUCUUUGCCCUGGUUACUGCUGACAUAUAGUAAUCCUUUGCAAGCAGAUUUUUCUAGUCUUACCUAGAGAUUAAUUUGAUCAUGUUCAUAUAUAAGAAUAUUGCCCUAUUCAGGUUGUUUUCCUUCUCUUACUGAUGCAUAAAUUUAUUUGCCUUUGAGUAGCAGUAGAAGACCAGAGUAACUGUGAUGAAAAGUACUUGGUCUACAGUGCAUGAUUGGCCUCCAGAUCUUUUUGUUAUUGGUAGAAAAAUAACUAUAUGUACUUUGAGCUCCCAUUGCCUAUUUAGUUUUAAAUUUUAGCCUAAUUUAACCACCCCAAUAAAGGAAAUAUGUGAUUUAUUCUUUUUGGUAUGACUUGGCAACAUUUUUCUUGUGUUUCUCAUUAGUUAUUUUUAUUAAAUGCAUCUUAAUAUUUAAGAUCUCUGUUUUCAUACUUGUAUUACAAUUCAUUUAUUUUGAAGUGCAUUCUAUGUACUUAGAAUUUGUGACUUGAACAACUUCACCAAAUGAGUAUCUUUUGGUAGUUUGUAAUGAGUUCUUCCAGAUGUUAACACUUUCCCCAAUAUUUUUAAUAAAUAUAUAGAGGUAAAAAAUAAUUUUCUGUAUUCUGCUGAUCAUGAUUUUAUAUAAUAAAUCAUCAAUUUUUAUAAUAGUAUGGAUUAACCAUUUCUAAAAUACUAAUUUAGCUAUACUUCCCAGGGUCCCAGUAAACAACAGUCCAUUAUUGCCAUGCAUCUGGUGGCUAGUGUCUAGGUGAUAUUUAUAUUCACUGUAAUCUGUGCAACAUAGCUAUGCCAUGUUCACUCUGUCUCUAACCCUGCAACCUAGACUUAUGGCAUCAAUGGUUUCAUAUUGGGUACAUGUCACCUCUAGCCAUAUGUAUUUAUGAAAUGCAUGUUCACAAAAAUGAAAUGUGGUUCUCGCACACUGGUUAGCUACAGUCCAAAGUUGCUUUGUAUUCAUUUAGAGUCCACCUAGUUUUCAUAUUUGGUGAAAGUUUUGUUCUGUUUUCCCUAAGAUUGCCACUUUGACUACUUUCCAUUACUUUUUAAAACCAUGUUUAUUCUUACUGUGCUUUUUGUGUCAUUUUUAUUUGAUCAUCUGAUUUGUGAAUUAUUGAAAUCUGUACUCUUGAUGAAAAUGGUAUCAUCAAGUCUCUGUCAUUAGCAUGUUCAUUUGAGUUUAUGUUUGGAAAUGACUGGAUUUAUUCAGUCAGCCAUACUCACCCUUGAUGCUCUGUAACCAGCUGCUAAUGUUCCACAAUGGCUUUCCCCAGUGCCCACGUGUGUGACUGUCAGACAGCCUCCUCCCUGUUAAGCUGUUAUGGUCAAUGUUUAUUUGCCCUCACUGUAAACAAACUAAGUGGUUGAAAUGCACACUUGCCCCCAGCAUCAUAUUAUUUACCUGUGGUGGCUAUUUGGACUCUUCCUGGGGAAGUUGCUAGAAUUUAAAUUUGUUGUCCAGGAGACUAUCUUUCCAGUUCUUGAAAGCUGCUAGGUGUGUGCCACAUUGGUGCAAAUAAAUCCUUACUGUAUGGGAAAUGUGUGCCAUUCACAGAAAAGGAGCAUUUGAAGAGAAAGAGGUUUGUUGUGAAGCCAGAGAACAAUUGUAACUAGGUUGAUGGCCUUGGUGCUGAGAUUUUGUUUGAGCCACAGGCUACUCCCAGGCGCUGAACGAUACUCCAUGUAAUACUAUCAAGCUUCUCCGAUUAGAAUUUUCUGGUUUCUCUUAUAAUAAGGUAUUUUGGAUAUAUAUUUUAAUGGUCAUUGCUUUAAGCUGAAAAGCCAUUUAAAUGAGGAGAGAAAUUACUCUCAUGGGAUAUUUAAAACUCAGGAGUUCAAAUAAACUCACAUAUUGAACAGACACUGUUGACUUUGCAACUGAAUUAUAACAUGGUACAUCUGAACUGCAGAGUGAUUGCUGCAAGCUGUUCUCAAAGGUGGUUGGGAUUUACAGUAGACAAUUCCAACAGUGAAGCGGUACAAUGUCUUGGAAAUUGGUAUCUCACAUCACUCGUGUGCCUAAGAAAAUAAAAGGAAAUAUUUUAUUUUUU